ensembl:lncRNA
AUUUCUUCAGUCCAGCACUUUUAUCAAGCAUAUGAAAUUUAGUGCAGAUUGAACAUGGAAUGUUUGAGUUAGUAUAAAGCAUGUUGUGUCCUAUUGCCAACAGGUGGCGCUAUGAUUAUAACUGAACAUUGGCCUUUAGAUAUCUUCAGGCCAUGACUCUUAUCAAAUAUUUGAAGUUUGGUGCAGAUUGGACAUUGCAUGUUUAAGUUAGUGUAAAACAAGCCAUUUUCUGUUGUCAGCAGGUGGCGCUAUGAUUAUAGUGGAAUAAUGACCUUCAGAUGUGUUCAGGCCAAGACUCUUUUCGAACAUGUGAAGUUUGGGGAAGAUCGGACAUCUUAUGCCUGAGUUACAACAACUUC